GAGUUCAUGCCCUUCGGGGUAGAUCUCCCACCCUUUGUAUACCAUACCUCUGUUGCUUUGGCGGGCCGCCUAGCUACUGGCUUCGGCUGGUAAGUGCCCGCCAGAGGACCCUAAAUUCUGAAUUUUGUAUUGUCUGAGAAACUAUAUAAUAGUUAAAACUUUCAACAACGGAUCUCUUGGUUCU
rnacentral:misc_RNA from 1 species